UGCAAGUCGAGCGAACAGAUGAGAAGCUUGCUUCUCUGAUGUUAGCGGCGGACGGGUGAGUAACACGUGGGUAACCUACCUAUAAGACUGGGAUAACUCCGGGAAACCGGGGCUAAUACCGGAUAAUAUUUUGAACCGCAUGGUUCAAUAGUGAAAGACGGUUUCGGCUGUCACUUAUAGAUGGACCCGCGCCGUAUUAGCUAGUUGGUAAGGUAACGGCUUACCAAGGCGACGAUACGUAGCCGACCUGAGAGGGUGAUCGGCCACACUGGAACUGAGACACGGUCCAGACUCCUACGGGAGGCAGCAGUAGGGAAUCUUCCGCAAUGGGCGAAAGCCUGACGGAGCAACGCCGCGUGAGUGAUGAAGGUCUUCGGAUCGUAAAACUCUGUUGUUAGGGAAGAACAAAUUUGUUAGUAACUGAACAAGUCUUGACGGUACCUAACCAGAAAGCCACGGCUAACUACGUGCCAGCAGCCGCGGUAAUACGUAUGUGGCAAGCGUUAUCCGGAAUUAUUGGGCGUAAAGCGCGCGUAGGCGGUUUCUUAAGUCUGAUGUGAAAGCCCACGGCUCAACCGUGGA
rnacentral:rRNA from 1 species